rnacentral:rRNA from 1 species
GUCCACGCUGUAAACGAUGAACACUAGGUAUUGGAGGAUUUGACCCCUUCAGUGCCGUAGCUAACGCGUUAAGUGUUCCGCCUGGGAAGUACGGUCGCAAGACUAAAACUCAAAGGAAUUGACGGGGCCCGCACAAGCGGUGGAUUAUGUGGUUUAAUUCGAAGCAACGCGCAGAACCUUACCUAGGCUUGAAAUCCCAUGAAUCCCUUUUAAACGAGGGAGUGCUCUUCGGAGAAUAUGGUGACAGGCGCUGCAUGGCUGUCGU